UACGUAGGGUGCGAGCGUUAAUCGGAAUUAUUGGGCGUAAAGAGCUCGUAGGCGGUUUGUCGCGUCUGUCGUGAAAGCUUGGGGCUUAACCCCAAGUCUGCGGUGGAUACGGGCAGACUAGAGGCAGGUAGGGGAGAACGGAAUUCCCGGUGUAGCGGUGAAAUGCGCAGAUAUCGGGAGGAACACCGGUGGCGAAGGCGGUUCUCUGGGCCUGUACUGACGCUGAGGAGCGAAAGCGUGGGGAGCGAACAGG
rnacentral:rRNA from 1 species